UAGGGAAUCUUCCACAAUGGGCGCAAGCCUGAUGGAGCAACACCGCGUGAGUGAAGAAGGGUUUCGGCUCGUAAAGCUCUGUUGUUGGAGAAGAACGUGCGUGAGAGUAACUGUUCACGCAGUGACGGUAUCCAACCAGAAAGUCACGGCUAACUACGUGCCAGCAGCCGCGGUAAUACGUAGGUGGCAAGCGUUAUCCGGAUUUAUUGGGCGUAAAGCGAGCGCAGGCGGUUGCUUAGGUCUGAUGUGAAAGCCUUCGGCUUAACCGAAGAAGUGCAUCGGAAACCGGGCGACUUGAGUGCAGAAGAGGACAGUGGAACUCCAUGUGUAGCGGUGGAAUGCGUAGAUAUAUGGAGGAACACCAGUGGCGAAGGCGGCUGUCUGGUCUGCAACUGACGCUGAGGCUCGAAAGCAUGGGUAGCGAACAGG
rnacentral:rRNA from 1 species